GACUGGGAGGCGUUUUACAGUCAGGAAAAAGGUAUGACUGGUCGAAAGCUUGCAUUUGAUGGGCGUCUACGGGCGGACGGGUGAUUAACGCGUAUCCAACCUGCCCACCACUUGGGGAUAACCUUGCGAAAGUAAGACUAAUACCCAAUGACGUCUCUAGAAGACAUCUGAAAGAGAUUAAAGAUUUAUCGGUGAUGGAUGGGGAUGCGUCUGAUUAGCUUGUUGGCGGGGUAACGGCCCACCAAGGCGACGAUCAGUAGGGGUUCUGAGAGGAAGGUCCCCCACAUUGGAACUGAGACACGGUCCAAACUCCUACGGGAGGCAGCAGUGAGGAAUAUUGGUCAAUGGACGAGAGUCUGAACCAGCCAAGUAGCGUGCAGGAUGACGGCCCUAUGGGUUGUAAACUGCUUUUAUAAGGGAAUAAAGUGAGCCUCGUGAGGCUUUUUGCAUGUACCUUAUGAAUAAGGACCGGCUAAUUCCGUGCCAGCAGCCGCGGUAAUACGGAAGGUCCGGGCGUUAUCCGGAUUUAUUGGGUUUAAAGGGAGCGUAGGCCGGAGAUUAAGCGUGUUGUGAAAUGUAGACGCUCAACGUCUGCACUGCAGCGCGAACUGGUUUCCUUGAGUACGCACAAAGUGGGCGGAAUUCGUGGUGUAGCGGUGAAAUGCUUAGAUAUCACGAAGAACUCCGAUUGCGAAGGCAGCUCACUGGAGCGCAACUGACGCUGAAGCUCGAAAGUGCGGGUAUCGAACAGGAUUAGAUACCCUGGUAGUCCGCACGGUAAACGAUGGAUGCCCGCUGUUGGUCUGAAUAGGUCAGCGGCC
rnacentral:rRNA from 1 species